UGUUGAGAGAUGCAAUUACUCGAAAGCUUGACAUCAAAAAAAUCAUGUUAUCUUCUUCAAACACAUUAUGUAUUGCAGAUUUUGGAUGUUCAAUUGGACCAAACACUUUCAUUGCAAUGCAACAUGUUGUACAAUCUCUAAAAUAAAAAUACCAUAAUACCAACAUUCUUGAAUUCCAAGUAUUUUUCAAUGAUCAUGUCACCAAUGAUUUCAACGCCCUCUUUCGAUCACUACCCCUCGAUCAAUCCUACUAUGCAUUCGGAGUUCCAGGAUCAUUCCAUGGUAGAUUAUUUCCAUCGCGAUAGAUUCAUUGUGCUUUCAUUAUCUUCUCUAGAAUAACAUAGUGUCUUUGACAGAAAAAUAGAUGGGCAAGAGAAGUGCCUUAUUACAAUUAAGAAUGUAACUAAAGAUUUUAUAAAUAUUUGAUUUUAAAAAUGAGGAAAGAUUUUAAAUAUAAAAAAAAAAUCUUAUCACAAACAUGGUUCAAAUUAAUACGUCUCACUUAGCCUAUGACAACAAGGAAAAUAGGUAAUGCAUGCCAAACAUAAAAUGAUAUCCAUCAACCACUUGUAAUUUUUAGUGGUAAAAUAUAUAUGUGCUUACACAAAAAUAUAUAUUUAUGUUUACAUUAUUAUAUUAAAGUGUGAAGGAUCUUUGAAAAGUAAUUUAAACUUUUUACACUUGAUUAAAAAUCUUGUAAUAGACAAAAUUAUUUAAUUAAUCAAAUGUUGCACGUGCGAUUGCGACAGUACUUGGCCUUGGAUCAGGGCUGUCACUCGCUCAAGACGUUGAUGCGCCACCGGGUGGACCCUUUUCUUAUCAGCAUGGGGAGUUGCGAUGGAUACCAAGAUGAAGACUCCUCAGCGCCAAUUAGUAUAGACACCUAAUUUUGUCCCUCCCAACGUUGAUUUUAUCCAUUUUUAGCUCACCUUACCACGUGUCCUCAUCCAUGUGAUCAUACCCCAUAAAAAUACAAAAAUAACAAAGUCCCUAACAAAAUUUUAUCUUGUUUUAACUAUCCUAACCACUUCUCCAAUUAAAAGCGGACACUUCACCAUCCCACACCCCUAUACCCGUGUUACCCCACCUCACCCCUAGGCAGCCCCCCUCCCUUCACGUUUUUGUUUCCUUUUGGACCAUAGACACCUCACAAUUUUGGGGGAGCCCCACAGAAAACCAAUUCACACAAUUCUUCACAUCACAACAACUAUAUACUCACAGAAGACCCUAUCAAUUCAUUGGGAUCACCAAGGCUUCUUCACAGAGAAUCAUGCACAAAAAGGCAGAGUUGACAUAGGCAUAAGCCUCCAUUUUUGUUCUUCUCUUCUACACCGUCACACACCAUACACCACACACAGAAUCAACCACGGAAACGGAGGCAUACACCAUUUUUUUUCUCUUCUUCAUUCACAAACACACCACACACAGUAACACCAAUGUAAGGGAGAAAUCGAGAGAGGAGGGAGAUAAAGAACGAAAGAUUCGAGCAAGAGUGAGAUCGUGAGAUCAGAGAGAGAGGGAGAAAGGCGACGGCAAGCUAAAAUCGAUCGGAGAGAGGUCGAAGGUUUGAUCGAAAAACGUAACUGACCGAAAAACCAUCUCCCCAGUCCUUUCCUUCACUGUUCUGGCCGAAAUUAUUGGAAUCCGUUGGGUAAUAUGACCAAAAUCGGCGACUAGUAGCGCCAGUUCACCCCUCCGUUGGAGUUUUCCAUUGUUCGUUUGAUUUAUUGAUUGAGGUUUACGAUUUUGAGGUUCCACUUGAUUUUCAAAUCUGUUUCGGGAUCAAAAUUCAACGCCAAAUGGGGUUUUAUUCAAGGUCGGUUUAAGUCGAGGUUUCGAAUCCAUGAGGGUCCACUAUUUGGUUGAAUAAAAGCGACAUUAAGGUUCAUUCUUCAUCUUAUUCUCAAUUAAUUUUUAAUCGUGUAAUACUUGAUGUGAUAAAUUCAUGGUGAGUGGGCUUUAUUUUGUUUUUUUUGUUGAUUUUGAUAUAUUUUGGAUCAUAGUAGUUUGGUUGUUGACGUCGAAUGAAUUGGAAUAAUCAAAGAACUUGGACUCAAUUUGGGGUUAAAUCGUAAUUUGGGGAGAUAUCGAGAGUUGGCUAAUUCGCAAUUUCACUUAGUUUAUUUAAUUUGUUAUUUUGAUUAAUUUUGAUGUUGUUAAACUUGAUAGUAUCAUUACGUUGAUUGGUUUAGGCAAACAUAGGUUGGGUAGGCAAAUGUUUAGAAUUGGCGGCUUUGGUUGAAUGUUGAAAAUUCCAUGGAAUGUUUGAAAUUUUGUUGAAUAGUUGAUUUUCUCUCACUAAAAAUGUAUUCAUUUGGCCAGGGAAUGCCUCGAAGGAUCUGUAUUGAUUUAUCCGGGGGAUGCCCCGAAGUACCUUGUACUUGGAAGAUGUUCUUAGUGAAGGCUCGAGGCGUCGGAUGAAGCAGUGGAGCGUAGUAUAGGAUUAAUCUAGAGUAGAAUAGAUUUAUAUUUUUGCAUUAUUUAUUCCUGGACUGUAUAAUUUGGACUGGACAUUAUUUUGGUUUUGAAUUAUGUUUGAUUUGUUUGUUUGCUUGUUUUGCAUGUUUGUGUGGUUUAUACAUCCGUAAUGUUAAAUUAACCGAUACACUUCACCAAGCGACCGUGGUUGAAUCACGGGAUCGAGGGGUGCCUAACACCUUCCCUUUGGUCAAUAGAAUUCCUUAACCAGAAUCUCUGUUCGCGGAUCAGUUUUAGAGUCAACCCGUUUUUGAAAAAGGAUUUCCAAAGGUGACUUGGCACACCCGAUUUAUGCCAAGUGGCGACUCUGUGUUUAAAUGUAAAAAGUUCUUUUUCGAAACAAAUUUUCAAUUUUCAAUCAUUUUGUUACUUUCAUAAUAAAACCCUUUCGAACUUAAAAUCUAAUUCUUUUUUUGAGUUAAAAAAAAAGAGGUGUGACAGCUCUGGCGACUCUGCUGGAGAACUUUCAGAAUUCGAGCUUAUUUGUGGAGUCGUAUCGGCUUUGUUAGGCAUUACGAGUGUAUAAACAUUGUUUGUGAUUAUUGUUUGUGUUAUUGUUAUCACUGUUGUGUGUUUUCGUGCUCUUUGUUUACAGUUUUUUGUUAUGUGUUACCGCUUUAUAUCUGACAUCAUGUGCAUAACUUGAGUCAUUCUUUCUGCAACAAGUCCAUAGUACACGUGUGUACACGACCUAUAGUUGAGUCUCCCUCAUUUUAGGGGGGAGCCAUUGGGUUGUACAGAGUAGGUGGCUAGCUAAUGCAAGCCACUAUCGACCAUACGCUCCCUUGAACAACCUUGUUAGUGAACCCCAACGUAAGUCAGCCUUUAGGUCAUGCUUAUUUACAUCAUAUUGAGACCUAGCGGGACCCGCAUGGCCCUUUGUAGGAGACUCACCUCUAAAGCAUUCCUACGUGCUAAAUGUUGUAUCUUUGAGGGUAACGUCGUCAUUUGACAGAUUGAUUUGGAUAAAAGCAUGUGUUAGAAGCAAAGUGUGUAGGCAAAAUUUGUUGGAAAAAAAAAGGAAAAGGUGAAUCGAAAAAAUAAGUGUUUCGUAGUGUUUUUAGAGUUUUUAAUGGCUUUUGUUCUUCACAAUCCAAAAAUUCAAAAAAAAAAAAUUACCUUUUGCACUCAUUUCUCAAAAACAAAAACAUCAAAAAGAUUUUUCUUGUCUCGUUUAGCAUGCAUUCACAAUUCAAAAACUUCAAAAAGAUUUUUCAUUCAAAAAAGAUUUGUUCUUUCAUAGUUGUUGGUGUCAUUUUUAUGUGAAGUGUCAAAUUGAAAACUCAAAAAGAUUUUAUAGACGUUUUGCAUCUUCUGUUUGUGCUCGUGUCUCUUAAGUCAGGGAGUUGGUUAUUUAAUCCUUAAUUGUUCAAUCUGGACGAACUACGCACUCCUGAUUCUCCUUUCUCGGGAGUGAGAAACGUAGGUAGCCUAUUGUGGGUUUGGGGAUCUUAUUUCAAAAAUUCAAAAAAUAUUUUAUUCACUCUUCGUUUAGAGUAGGUGUUUCAUAUACAUCUUCAAGAGAAAACUACAAAAAGAUUUUCCUUUAAUAGUUUCAAGUUUUAUUUACGUAUGAAUGCAAAAUUGAAAAUCUAAAAGAUUUUUCUUUGGUAAUCAUAGGUUUCAUUUUGUAUAGGGAUUUAAACCUAAAAAUACAAAAAAAUUUACGUCAAUUCUUUUGACACUUUGUUUCAAGAAAAAUAAAAGAGUUUGAUUGACCGUUUUGGCAAGACUUCACGAACUACUCACACCUAAUUUUCCUCUCUUGGGAGUGAGAUACGUUGGCGCCUUUCUUGGGUUCGGUGAUCUUUUUAAAAUAAAAAGAGAAGGGAAAAGAGGUUUUGAAAAAGUGUUAAACUCUAACACAUUUGUUAUUUUUUUGUUGAGUCAGUUUAAGGUGGUUGGUUUGUGGCAUUCUGGUUGGUCCUCCACAUUAUACCAAAUCCAAAGGGUUAGUUGUGUCCAAUAAGGAUAUAGAGAGUGACAUAAUGGAUGAAACAAAGAGCCAGCAAAUUGAGAGUUUAAAGGAAGAGAAUUUGAGACUGAGAUAAUAAAUGACAGAAAUGCACCGAUCUUGGGACUGUGGGUUGCCUCCUCCUCCUCCAUUUCCCUCUAUUGAUCCUUCAAAUACCUUGAGUUUUCCACCAAAAUUACAAAGUCAGUGUCCUAUUGUUGUUGAUGCACCGCAACAUGACUCAAAAUUCAUUCCAAGCCCAAAGCAUCUCAAUACUUCCACCACUUUUCCUCUAGCUCCUCAGUAUAAGUCUGCUACAUUCACAACACCAUAUGUCGUUCGUGAUCUUGUUGCUCAAUCCUCUAUUGAGGCUUCUACAUUAGCUAGCCGCCCAACGAUUGUGCGUCCCCAUGCUGCUAGUAAACCUAUAUUCAAUACUCUUGGUGAUUAUUGUUAUACUCAUGAACCUGCUUUUAAGUUAACUAGACCACCAAAGUUUCUUAACAAGAAGUCCAGUUUGCCAGAAGAGUCAGAGAAAUGGUUGAAAAAAUAAAGAGUGCAGAAAAUAUUAUGAAAAAUUCUCUAGGACCUGCGGGUAAAGAAGAUGUUUCAUACAAAGACUGGGGCAUGCCUUCAAGUGCUAACCUUCCUUCAAUCUUUGCGAUGUCGAAAUUUGAGGAGCAAGAUGGGCAUGGGGAAUCCAUAAAACAUUUGGGGACAAUAUUGCAAUCAAUUAAGGGAACCUGGAAGGAAGAAGAAUGAGAAAGAUGACACUACUAUUGUAGUUAGAGAACGGGCACAUCCAAGAAGACGUCGUCGUCGUUGUCGUCAGUCUCAAGCCCAAGUUCAUACCCAAGCUCUCCAUAAUCACUCCCAAAAUCCAUUAUACUCUGUUUCCCCACCUCCAUAUGUAAUAUAUUGUGCACAACCAUAUGUUCAACUCCCUCCUUACCCACAAUGGCGCGCAUCAACUCCUUAAAGUCAUUCUUCAAUUCUACAAACAUACCAAAGCCCUUCUAGGUUUGAUGUUCGAUCCAAGUUAAACAAUGAAAUGAGGCAGAAAUUGAGGGAUAGUUUCACACCAAUUGGAGAGUCGUAUGCCAGUUUAUUUCAGAGAUUAGCACAGCGAGGUAUGAUUACUCCUCUCCUUGGGUAUACUUCUGAUCCGCAUUCAAGAAGUUUUGAUCCUAAUGUACGAUGUGCAUAUCAUUUUGAUAUUCAAGGUCACAGUAUUAAAGAUUGUUGUUCUUUGAAAAGAGAAAUUGAAAAUAUGAUUCACAGUAUUGAAGAUUGUCGUGCUUUAAAAAGAGAAAUUGAAAAUAUGAUUCAAGACAAAUUGAUUAUGGUGCAAAACAUUGACGAAAAGCUCUCAUCAUGCUGAUAUGCAAACUAGUGGCUAAGAUGUCAGGCUGAGCAAUUGAGAAGUCAGCCCUCUCCCUACUAGAAAGAGGUCUGGUAGCUUGUUUUGUUUUAUUUUUUGUUGUACAAAUUAUUUCAGGGUUGUAGUUCGGGAUCUAUCUUGUUUUGUCCUUUUGUCGUUUAUGUUCAAACCCUUCUAUCUUUUGUUUCAACUAAAUGAAGAGUCCCAUUUUUCUGUGUUUUAAAUAUGUGUUGUUUGUUUGUUUUCUUUACAUAGUACAUUUUAUGUAGACUCUACGUAUAUGACAUGCUAGCAGAAUUUUCAGUCAGAUCUUAAAAUAAAAUUUAAGCAUGAACAUUGAAUCAGAAGGUUAAAGUUAGAAAAGGAAAAACAUCUGAGAAAAUUAAUAGAGUGUUGACACAUUUGGUGACCAUGUUGAAGUCUUCUUUGAAAAUUAAGGCAAUCAUUUUGAGAAUCACAAGAAUAACUUAGUCAUCAAUUGAAAAACAUAGCUCAAUUAGGUCAAAUAGCGGAUGUGUGCUCCCGAGGAUUAGAAUAAAAGUCAACUCUACGAAAGCAUGAGUCAUUCAAUGUAAGGGAUGUACAACACAAGUGGAGUUGUAUGUUCGACAAGUGUAGAAAAAGAGGUGGCACAUAUGCUCAGGGCAAGUUAGUAUUGUAAAAUAUGUCAUAAGUGAUAUUGAUCUUGUACUUUCACAUUGCAUGCUCUGUACUAGAAUCUUCAAGGAUUGAUAUGACGAAGGCAUUUCAUUCUGCUAUCCAAAUGUUGUGUCAUCCUUUGUUUACCCCCAUUUGAGCCUUAGUGUUAUUUUCUUUCAUACCCCUCUUUUGGAAUCAAGAUAGAGUCAGCAAAGCUCAAAAGAAAAGUGUCGAGCAAAACAAUAGAGUCAGAAAAAUUUCAAAAAAAAAGAAGAAAAAGAAGAAGAAAAUAUGUCCAAAAAGAAAGUAAAGAGAAGAGUUUUAAGAAAAAUAGAGUCAGAAAGUUUCAAAGAGAAAAAUAGUCAAUAAAAGAAACAUAGAAAAAAAAGAAAUUAGAAUCAAGCAAAAUAAGUUGCUAGAACUACACGUGACCUGAUUCUCCUCUCUUGGGGGUGAGAUAUAUAGGCUGGCCUACUCUGGGCUCGGUCUAACCAAAUAAACAAUUUAGAAUUACCGAGUCAAAAGAAACUGGGGCAUGAGUUAAUCCUCAUUUUUUGAGUCGAUUCCAAAAGUUGUAAGUUCUACCCCACUUCAAGUGUCGUUUGGGCCCCAUGGCAUUCUUUCUUUCCAACCUUAUCCAAAAGCCAAGUUACAAUCAAAGAAUGACCUUCAGAUCAAUAUUUGAAAAUGCUACGGCUAAGCAAGCAAUGGAUGUGAUGACGCAUUUUGGGAACUACUUGUCUUCCUCAGCACAAGAAAUCAGGAGAGAAAUAAAAAUGAGAGUCUUAUCAAAGAAAAUCCUCACGGGCACCAUAAGAUGAUAGUAAGCUGAGAGAGAUAAAAUGAGAGAGUCUUAUCGGUGAAAAUCCUCACGGGAAUUGUAAGACAACGGUGAGUUGAGACAAAUAAAAAUAAGAGAUUCUUAUUGGUGAAAAUCCUCAUGGACACCAUAAGACAACUGUGAGUUGAGAGAAAUCAAAAUUAGAGAAUCUCAUUGGUGAAAAAACCUCACGGAUACCAUAAGGCGAUGGUGUGCCAAGAGAAAAAUGAGAGAGGCUGGUUAGCAAAAACCCUUCAAGGUGUCACUAGCCGAAUAAGGUCUUAAAUGCAAUUGACCUAAGAAAGUAACUCAAUUUUAAAGCCCUUAACUCAACAACAAUUGGUGAAAGUUCGAAUGGAAAGAUCAGACAGCUUAAUCCAAAAUGCAUGACAUAAUCAUUAGGGCUGACCGUCAUUUCUAGAUAAAAUUUUCAUUUCUUUGUUUCAAAUGGGGACAUUCAUUGUCUUUUCUUUCUUCUCUUUAUUUUUAUUUUGUUUUCUUGAGUCAGUUGUCCAAAGAAAAAUCAUUGUCAUUUUUUUUUCUGUUAUCUUUGAGUCAAGUCCAUGUCAAAACAAGUGAAAAGAUUUCAAAAUUGACUACCAACUUCUUUAAUUGCACAAAGCACGACAGAAAGGCCAGUGCAUUAAAGAGACAUGAUUGUAAACCGAAAAAAGGGCAUGCAAAAAGCUUAGUCAACAGGCAAAUCUACGAACUCAUGAAAAUACCAAAGUUUAAAGGGUUUAUUUGAGAAACAUGAAAAAGCUGAGAUACAGUGUUAUUUUAGAGUCACUCUUAAUAAUCUGAAUUUGGGUCAAUGACACGACAAAGCAGGGGCAAGUGCUGCAAACCACCACUAAGCUUUUAACUGACAAAUUUUCUUUGUUGAAAUAGGGGCAAAUUCGCUUCACUUAAUUCAGCUACCAUUGGAAAUGCACAUCCAGGGAAUUUACUUUCUGUUCAGGACCUCCUGAAAAAUGAGACUUUAUUUUCUGUUCAGGACCCUCCUAAAAAAUGGGACUUUACUGUCUGUUCAGGACCCUCCAGAAAAAUGAGAUUUUACUCUCUGUUCAGGACCAUCCUGAAAAAUUGAACUUUACUUUCUGUUAAGGACCCUACUGAAAAAUGGGAAUUUACUUUCCAUCCAGGACCCUCCUAAAAAAUGGGAUUUUACUUUUUGUCCAGGACCCUCUUGGGAAAUGGGAUUUUACUUUCUGUUCAGGACCCUCCUGAAAAAUAGGAUUUUACUUUCUAUUCAGGACCCUCCUAGAAAAUGGAAAUUUACUUUCUGUUCAGGACCCUCCUGAAAAAUAGGAUUUUACUUUCUAUUCAGGACCCUCCUAGAAAAUGGGAUUUUAGUUUCUGUUCAAGACCCUCCUGAAAAAUGAGAUUUUACUUUCUGUUCAGGACUUUCUUGAAAAAUGAGACUUUACUUUCUGUUCAGGACCCUCCUGAAAAAUGGGACUUUACUUUCUGUUCAGGGCCUUCCUGGAAAAUGAGAAUUUUACUUUAUGUUCAGGACCCUCCUGAAAAAUGGGACUUUACUUUCUAUUCAGGACCCUCCUGAAAAAAGAGACUUUACUUUAUGUUCAGGACCCUCUUGAAAAAAUGGGACUUUACUUUCUAUUCAGGACCCUCCUGAAAAAAGAGACUUUACUUUAUGUUCAGGACCCUCUUGAAAAAUGGGACUCUACUUUCUGUUUAGGACCCUCCGUAAAAAUGAGAUUUACUUGCUGUUCAAGACCCUCCUUAAAAAAUGGGACUUUACUUUCUGUUGAGGACCCUCCUGAAAAAUGGGAUUUUCCUUUCUGUUCAGGACCCUCCUGAAAAAUGGGAUUUUCCUUUCUGUUCAGGACCCUCCUGAAAAAUGGGAUUUUCCUUUCUGUUCAGGACCCUCCUGAAAAAUGGGAUUUUCCUUUCUGUUCAGGACCCUCCUGAAAAAUGGGAUUUUACUUUCUAUCCAGGACCCUCCUGAAGAAUGGGACUUUACUUUCAAAAAAUGAAAAUUUUCUUUAUCUUAAUCUUUGUUUGGGAUAAUUUUCGUUCUAGUUUUUAUUCUGGUUUCAGGAACCCGCCUGAAGAACAAGGUGAUGAAAUCGGAAGAUGAUUAAAAAUUACAAAUCAGAAGCCCGCCUGAAGAACAAGGGCGAAUAAAUGGAAAGUCAAAGCAACAAAGUGAAGAAGUUGAAAGCUAAGAAACAAAGUGAAGGAAUUGAGAGUCAACAGAUUGAAAAAUAGCAAGUCAGGAGCCCGCCUGAAGAACAGGGUGAUGAAAUUGAAAGCCAAGCAACAAGUUGAGAAAAUGGCAAGUCAGGAGCCCGCCUAAAGAAUAGGGUGAUGAAACUCAAGUCAAGAGUCCAAAAGAAUCCGCAUAGAUAGGAUUUUUGUAAUUUCAUUUAUGUUUUAACUUGUAAUUAUUAUUUUUGAUGUAAUGACAGAGCCGCAGAUCGGAACCUCGACAGAACCUCGCUCGACUCUCCAACUCGGUAUAGUCCCUCUUCUUUCAGUCCUUGGGGAUACCUGUGACUUGAUUCCCUCAUAACUAGGAAUGCGUAUGACUUCCAAAGUCAAGACUUGGUUUCCCUCCUUACUACUAUUUCAUUCUUGUCGAAUAAUGAUCGGGAUAAAAUUUUCUCUCGUUGUCUACUUCUUUGUCUGAAAACACUGCAUGUUUACAUUCAAAGGGGGCAUGCUGUAGACACCUAAUUUUGUCCUUCCCAACGUUGAUUUUAUUCGUUUUUUUCUCACCUUACCACGUUUCCUCAUCCAUGUGAUCAUACCCCAUAAAAAUACAAAAUCAACAAACUCCCUAACAAAAUUUUAUCUUGUUUUAACUAUCCUAACCACUUCUUCAAUAAAAAGCAGACACUUCACCACCCCACACCCCUAUACCCGUAUGACCCCACCUCACCCCUAGGCAGCCCCCCUCCCUUCACGUUUUUGUUUCCUUUUGGACCAUAGACACCUCACAAUUUUGGGGGAGCCCCACAGAAAACCAAUUCACACAAUUCUUCACAUCACAGCAACUAUAUACUCACAGAAGACCCUCUCAAUUCAUCAGGAUCACCAAGGAUUCUUCACAGAGAAUCACGCACAAAAAGGCAUAGUAGACAUAGGCAUAAGCCUCCAUUUUUGUUCUUCUCUUCUACACCGUCAAAAAGGCACAGUAGACGCGCCAGUUCACCCCUUUGUUCGAGUUUUCCAUUGUUCGUUUGAUUUUUUGAUUGAGGUUUGCGAUUUUGAGAUUCCGCUUGAUUUUCAAAUCUGUUUCGGGGUCAAAAUUUGAUGACAAAUGGGGUUUUAUUCAAGGUCGGUUUUAGUCGAGGUUCCGAAUCUGCGAAGCUCCUCUAUUUGAUUGAAUAAAUACGACAUUAAGGUCCAUUCUUCAUCUUAUUCUCAAAUAAUUUUUAAUCAUGUAAUACUUGGUGUGCUAAAUUCAUGGUGUGUGGGCUUUAUUUUGUUUUUUUGUUGAUUUUGAUAUAUUUUAGAUCAUAGUAGUUUGGUUGUUGACGUCGAUCGAUUGAUUGUUGUGAAUUGGAAUAAUCAAAGAACUUGGACUCAAUUUGGAGUUAAAUCGUAAUUUGGGGAGAUAUCGAGAGUUAGCUAUUUCGCAAUUUCACUUAGUUUAUUUAAUUUUUUAUUUUAAUUAAUUUUGAUGUCGUUAAACUUGAUAGUAUCAUUACGUCGAUUGGUUUAGGCAAACAUAGGUUGGGUAGGCAAAUGCUUAGAAUUGGAGGCUUUGGUUGAAUGUUGAAAAUUUUGUUGAAUAGUUUGAUUUUCUCGCACUAAAAAUGUAUUCAUUUGGCCGGGGAAUGCCUCGAAGGAUCUGUAUUGAUUUAUCGGGGGAAUGCCCCGAAGUACCUUGUACUUGGAAGAUGUUCGUGGUGAAGGCUCGAGGCGUCGGAUGAAGCAGUGGAGCGUAGUAUAGGAUUAAUCUAGAGUAGAAUAGAUUUAUAUUUCUACAUUAUUUAUUCCUGGACUGGACAUUAUUUUGGUUUUGAAUUUUGUUUGAUUUGUUUGUUUGCUUGUUUUGCAUGUUUGUGUGGUUUAUACAUCUGUAAUGUUAAAUUAGCCGAUACACUUCACCAAGCGAUCGUGGUCGAACCACGGGAUCGAGGGGUGCCUAACACCUUUCUUUCGGUCAACAGAAUUCCUUAACCGGAAUCUCUGUUCGCGAAUCAGUUUUAGAGUCAAAUCGUUUUUGAAAAAGGAUUUCCAAAGGUGACAUGGCACACCCGAUUUAUGCCAAGUGGCGACUCUGAGUUUAAAUGUAAAAAGUUCUUUUUCGAAACAAAUUUUCAAUUUUCAAUUUUCAAUCAUUUUGUCACUUUUAUAAUAAAACUCUUUCGAACUUAAAAUCUAAUUCUUUUUUUGAGUUAAAAAAAGGGGUGUGAAAAUUAGGGGGUACAAGAGAUAGUUGGAUUGUAAGACUUUCUCUCACAUCCCACUCCCUUCCAUGAGAUAGUCAAUUUUAGCAUUUUUGAAGAAUCAUAUUGAGAAAAAGAAAGAAGCCUGGGGUAAAGUGAUGAGCCCGAGAUGUUAUAAAGCUUUGGGUUUGACUUUUUCGUCUGCUUUGUAUGAGUCGACGUAUGGAAUGCGCCAAGACUUGACUUUAUAUGCCAUGACACUAAGAGAAAGACACAGGAGAAUUCCUCUUUUAGGAAGACCUAGUAGCUCAGGAUCUCUGACGUUUCAUGUAUAUACACGUGCAUAAUGUAUAAGAGGUGUUUAUAUAUACUUUUACGUUGACAUCUUAUACAUAAUUAUACACAUUUAAAUAUCAAUUCAUAUAGGCAAAUAAAUGGACAUGUGUUUGAAUUUAGAGUUCAUAUUACUUAACCAUGGUUAAUUAAUAUGUAUUUUACUUAAUUUAAUUAAUUAACCAUAGUAAAAGACAUUAGUUUGGUGUAUACAUCGGGUGCGUGUAAAUUUUUACCAUUUAUUUGUGUCACCUUGCUUAUAUAGCACAUAACCCUUUUUAUAAAUCCAAAAAUCUUAUUUCUUCAUCAAUGUAAUUGUUGGAGUUUUCAAGCUAUUAAGAACUCCAACAGUGAAAUUUUACAAAUAAUGAUGACAAAAAUAGUUUUCUCAUAUACUAACAAAUAAAGUUUAGCUAUUUUGGUAUUACAGUGGGUAAAGUAUAGAUAAGUUGUAUAUAUUUAUUUAUUUAAAAAAAUAGUUAUUUGACAAAGCGUGGUGUUAAACAGUGCAACAUCCACAUUAUAUCUCUAUAUAAGAACAUGCUUGUGUGAAGAAAAUUAAACAUUGAGCAAUAAUAAGAUGAAGAAAAAGCAUAUAUAUAUAUUAGCGUUAUUAUUCAAAAUGACAACAUCUUACCCUAUGAAUGCUGGUGAUGGUCCUUAUAGCUACUUUAAAAACUCCCAUUUGCAGGUAUUAAUUAAUUAAUAUGUUAAUCAGUGCCACUUAAGUAUUUAGUAGAUAUCUUUUGAUUGACCUUACCUAGGUUAAACUCUGAUCUAUUUUAUAAUUGCAUGCAGAGAGAAGUGUUAGAUAAUUCAAAGGAAAUGGUGAGAGAUGCAAUUACUCGAAACCUUGACAUCAAAAAAAUCAUGUUAUCUUCUUCAAACACAUUAUGUAUUGUAGAGUUUUUAAAGUGGAUUUAAUUCCCCUGAAACUCUCCCCCGAAACUCUAUACCUAGUUUCGGCGGUUGGCGGUGUAAUACACGUGUCAAUCUCGUUUUUACACGUGUAUCCAACCUCAUAUUUACAUGUGUACAAGUGGGCAGAUAUAUGCCAUUAAAAUACGAAAAAAAAAAAGUCUAGGGGGUAAUAGGACCUCGCAAAGUUCAGUAUGCUCAACUGGAAAUUCAGUCAAAGUUGAGGUAUUAUCCCUAAAACAUAUGAGCAUACAUUUUAAAUUGAGGUUUCUUUCCUUUUUUAUGCAGGGAAUGCUUGAUGAAUCUUUAGUUGACUCGUUCAAUUUGCCAAUGUAUUUUCUUUCUCCUGAAGACAUGACUAAAGUGGUGGAGAAAAAUGGUUGUUUUAGUAUUGAGAUAAUGGAGUUGACAUAUCCCAAAUCAAAGCUUGUGGAUGAGGCUGAUGCAAAGACUUUAAUGAUAAAUCUAAGGGCUGUUUUAGAAGGAGUAAUAAUAAAUCAUUUUGCCUACCCAAACCAACAUUCGUCUAUCCAUUUCAACAUAUCAUAAUUUUAUCACAUUCCAACAAUAUUCAUGCUCAUUACGAAUUAAACAAAACAACAAUAAACCAAAGUUAAUCUAAAUUCAACUUUUUUUUAUCAAUUUCUCAAUUUCAUCCCCCAAAUCCAUUUUUAACCACAUUAUUAAACCAGUUCGACUAUCAAAUCACUUUUCAAAAUCCGAAACCAACAACACAUACCCCAACGAAGAUUCAAACAUUUAAGCAUACCAAUAAUUCAUAUCCACAACAAUUAACAUUUUUCUUGAAAUAUUCAAAACCGCACCACAAAAUCACGAUAUGAACCAACUUCGAUAUAAUUAAAAAGUAGAGUUGAGAGAUGGACCUUUGAAGAAUCGAUUUCGUUGAUAAUAAAAUCAAGAAAGACCGGACUAUAGAAUUCCUAAUAGGACCUCAACAAUGACGAACUCCAACUCCGUAUUGAAAAAUUUGAGACCCAAAAUUGAAGCUCCGUAAAUCCAAUCGAAUCUAAAAACCGACAGUGUUCACAUACUGUUCACAGCAUUGUUCACGGUACUGUUCACAACACUAUUCAUGACACUAUUCACGGUAUUGUUUCUCUCUCGAUUUUUUUUUCUCUCGCGCGAUUCUCUCUUUUUUUCCCUCAUUUUUUUGUUCUUCUUGUGAGGACGAUGAUUUGGUGAUUUUUGUUAUUGUAGAGAAGAUGAUGAUGAAAGAAUGAGUCUCCCUUUUCCCCUUUUAGAAUUUUCUUUUUAUAUUUUUUAUUUGAUUUUUCUUUUUCUUUAUUUAUUAUCCUAUGUGGAAGCAUAUAAUUGGUGCCUUGUGGGAAUAAGUGUGUGGCAUGUGGAAAAGUUAGUGUGGCAUGUGGAAAGAUGAGGGUGGCGAGUGAAAAAAUGAGUAGGGUGUGUGCCUUUUGCAUGUAUUCAAUGAAAAAUGGAAAGUGAGGUGUUGAGGUGGCAUAGUGAGGUGNNNNNNNNNNNNNNNNNNNGGAGAAAUUAUCAAUUAAACAAAAGUAUGGUAAGGUGAAUAAAAUAAAAAUAAAAAUAGAAUUAAAAAAAUAAAAUAAAAAUAAAAAUGAUUAAAAUAUGUUCGGGAAUGAACAAAAUUACGUGUCUACAUCAUGCCCCCUUUGGAUGUAAACACAUGGUGUUUUCAUACAAAGCAGUAGACAACGAGACAGAAUUUUAUCCUCACCUUUAUUCAAAAGCACGGAGCACGAGGAAGGAGGGAAACCAGGUCUUGACUUAGGACAUCCUACCUACCCAAGUUAUAAGGGAAUCGAGUGACAGUUAUCUCAAAGGAUUGGAAGGAGUUGGACUAUGCCGAGUUGGAGAGUCGAGUAAGGUCCCAUCGAGGUUCCGAUCCGUGGCUCUGUUAUUACAUCAAAAAUAAAAAUUACAAGUUAAAAACAUAAAUGAAAUUACAAAAUCCUAUCUUCGCAGCUUCUGUUGGACUCUUGACUUGAGUUUCAUCACCCUAUUUUUCAGGUGGGCUCUUGAUUUGAAAUUUCUUAAACUUGUUGUUUGGUUUUCAAUUUCAUCACUCGGUUCUCCAGGCGGGCUCCUGACUUGCUAUUUUCGAUCUGUUGACUUUCAUUUUCUUCACUUUGUUAUUUGACUUUUAACUUUUUCAUCUUGUUGCUUGACUUUCCAUUUAUUCACCCUGUGCUUAGGGAGGGCUCCUGAAAUCACAUCAAAACUAGAAAGAAAAUUAUCCCAAACAAAAUUAUUGUAAAGAGAAAAUCGUUUGCCAAAAAAGUAAAGUUCCAAAACAGAUAUUAAUUUUUUUUUCCAUCAGAAGACUUUUGAGAAAGUCAGAUCAUACCUACUUGCAUGUUGCAAUAAUGAAUCAAGACUCUGACCAAGAAAUGCAUCUCUUGAGAGUAAAAUUGAAUGAUCAAGACUAUGAAGUGCGUCUCCUAAGAAUUAAAGUGAGGAAUUCUGACUAGAAAGUGUGUCUUAUUGAGAUAGAAGUUUAAAUUAAAAAGUGUGUCACCUGACAAAUGAAAACUAACAAGGAAGUGCGUCUCAUAAGGAUUAAUUGCAAUGACUCGACCAGAAAGUGCAUUUUCUAGAAAUCAAGGAGAAUGACUCGACUAAAAGGUAUGCCUCAUAGGAAUCAAGGGGGAUGACUCGACUAAAAGGUACGUUUUAUAGGGGUCAAGGGGAAUGACUCGACUAAAAGGUACGUCUUGUAGGAAUCAAAGGGAGAUGACUCGACUAAAAGGUACGUCUUAUAGGAAUCAAGGGGGAUGACUCGACUAAAAGGUACGUCUUAUAGGAAUUGAAGGGAGAUAACUCGACUAAAAGGUACGUCUUGUAGGAAUUCAGGGAAAUGACUCGACUAAAAGGUACGCCUUGUAGGAAUCAAGGGGUAUGACUCGACUAAAAGGUACGUCUUAUAGGAAUCAAGGGGGAUGACUCGACUAAAAGGUACUUCUUAUAGGAAUCAAGAGGGAUGACUUGACUAAAAGGUACGUGUUAUAGGAAUCAAAAGGAGAUGACUCGACUAAAAGGUACAUCUUAUAGGAAUCCAGGAAAAUGACUCGACUAAAAGGUACGCCUUGUAGGAAUCAAGGGGGAUGACUUGACUAAAAGGUACGCCUUGUAGGAAUCAAGGGGGAUGACUCGACUAAAAGGUAUGUAUUCUAGGGGUCAAGGGGAUGACUCGACUAAAAGGUACUCCUUAUAGGAAUCUAGGGGGAUGACUCGGCUAAAAGGUACGUCUUAUAGGAAUCAAGGGGGAUGACUCGACUAAAAGGUACAAAGCAUGGAGUUGAACAGUGCAACAUCCCCCCACCCCACAUAUAUAUAUAUUCAUUAUAUUGUUAUAUAUUAAACGGACAGGAACAAGUAAUACCUCUUUUGAGCCGGUGGUCUAACAGAAACAACCUCUCUAUCUGUGAGAUUAUACUGGAUAUGUAAUUGAUGUUACAUACUAAAGUAGUUGAACUUUAAUUUAUUCCCUUUAACAACAAAAUCUAUCCAUCAAUGGUAUAAUUGCAUGCAGAUGGAAGUGUUAGAUGGUGCAAAGGGAAUGGUGAGACAUACAAUUACUGAAAAGUUUGACUUCAAAAUACAUUACAUAUUGCAGAUUUUGGAUGUUCAGUUGGACCAAACACUUUCAUUGCAAUGCAACAUGUUGUACAAGCUCUAAAAGACAAGUAUCAUAAUAACAUUCUUGAAUUCCAAAUAUUCUUCAAUGAUCAUGUUAUAAAUGAUUUCAACACCCUCUUUCGAUCACUACCCAUCGAUCGAUCCUAC
rnacentral:lncRNA from 1 species